AAACCAGCACCUCAAGUGGUCAGGAGGAUUAUUGGGCCUAAAGCAUCCGUAGCCUGUUCUGUAAGUUUUCGGUUAAAUCCAUUAGCUCAACUAAUGGGCCGCCGAAAAUACUGUAGAACUCGGGAGUGGGAGAGGUAGACGGUAUUCGGUAGGAAGGGGUAAAAUCCUUUGAUCUAUUGAGGACCACCUGUGGCGAAGGCGGUCUACCAGAACACGUUCGACGGUGAGGGAUGAAAGCUGGGGGAGCAAACCGGAUUAGAAACCCGUGUAGUCC
rnacentral:rRNA from 1 species